rnacentral:rRNA from 1 species
AUUGAACGCUGGCGGCAGGCCUAACACAUGCAAGUCGAGCGGGGUUUCCGGACCUAGCGGCGGACGGGUGAGUAAUGCGUAGGAAGCUGCCCGAUAGAGGGGGAUACCAGUUGGAAACGACUGUUAAUACCGCAUAAUGUCUACGGACCAAAGUGUGGGACCUUCGGGCCACAUGCUAUCGGAUGCGCCUACGUGGGAUU